GCCUGGGUCGCUCAAUUGGAUGAGCAUCUGACUUCGGCUCAGAUCAUGAUCUCACAGCUUGUGGGUUCGAGCCCCACGUCGGGCU
rnacentral:tRNA from 1 species